GAUGAACGCUAGCGGCAGGCCUAACACAUGCAAGUCGAGGGGGAGAACACUUCGGUGUUUGAGACCGGCGCACGGGUGCGUAACGCGUAUGCAAUCUACCUUAUACAGGGGAAUAGCCCAGAGAAAUUUGGAUUAAUGCCCCAUAGCAUUACGACUUGGCAUCAAGAUGUAAUUAAAGUUCCAACGGUAUAAGAUGAGCAUGCGUCCCAUUAGUUAGUUGGUAAGGUAACGGCUUACCAAGACAAUGAUGGGUAGGGGUCCUGAGAGGGAGAACCCGCACACUGGUACUGAGACACGGACCAGACUCCUACGGGAGGCAGAAGUGAGGAAUAUUGGUCAAUGGGCGCAAGCCUGAGCCAGCCAUGCCGCGUGCAGGAAGACGGUCCUAUGGAUUGUAAACUGCUUUUAUACAGGAAGAAACACCCCCACGUGUGGGGGCUUGACGGUACUGUAGGAAUAAGGAUCGGCUAACUCCGUGCCAGCCGCCGCAGUAACAC
rnacentral:rRNA from 1 species